UACGGAGGGUGCGAGCGUUGUCCGGAAUCACUGGGCGUAAAGGGCGCGUAGGCGGCUUGGGUAGUCCGUGGUGAAAGCUCGAGGCUCAACCUCGAGACGUCGGUUGAAACCAUCUGGCUAGAGUCCGGAAGAGGAGUGUGGAAUUCCCGGUGUAGCGGUGAAAUGCGCAGAUAUCAGGAGGAACACCGGUGGCGAAGGCGGGUCUCUGGGCCGUUACUGACGCUGAGGAGCGAAAGCGUGGGGAGCGAACAGG
rnacentral:rRNA from 1 species